CAAUAUGUAUCAAAGCAUAAAAACCCCACUAAAUCUUGUCCAAUUUUGGUGGGGGCCUUCUUUUAUGCUUCCAUUGAUACACCUCAAUGAAGCAAUUAACUUGUUCUCCAUAUAAAUUGUUAACCUUGCUAUCUUUCCUCCAUGUUAACCCUAAUCUUGUUAAAAAAUUAUGCAAUUUGUAUAUGUUAAUUGGUUAUAAUUUAGAGGGUUUGAUCCAUUUAAGGGCACAAAAGGGUAGGAAGUGAAGUGCCUAAAUGAAGCUUAUAGCUUUGUUUUUUAUUAUGGUGGUGAUGGUGAGUUCUUGCUUGGCGAUACAUGGGCAAGGGGAGAGAAAUCAAAACCAAGCUGAAGGCAAAAAGAGCAGAGUUGAUUGCAAAGAAAGAAGCGUUGACAAUCACCAUAGCAUACCAAGGGAAUACUAUAACGGCUGGGGUAGCAGCUCUCAAGGGGAUAAAAAUGGCGGCGACAAUGGUGGUGAUGAAGGAAGAAAAAGAUGAAGUGCAUACGAGUGUGAAGAAAAUUGGGCACAAACUUCAGAAGAUGGAUUCCAGAUGCAACCUAAAAUUGUUUAGAACACACUGAAUCAAAUUUCCAAAGAGAAAUAUCAUCUUCAUGUCGUCUGAAUCUUCAUUACGACUCAAUUGAACAAAAGCUAAAACGCAAUUGCUUUUGUUGGUAAUUGAAUUAGUCGAUAGCAUUUAUCAGCAACUUAUCAAUUUCAGUAAACAUCUAGAGCUUCCAGUUACAGAUCACCAAUAACACAUCCCAUAUUAUAACGAGAAAGAGCCUAACUGAUAUCUCUUAAUCUAGAAGGGCAAAUUACAAUGAGUUUGUAAGAGAAAGCUUCAGUUGCCAGAACACCAGUUAGCCGCAACCCCAGAUACUAAAAUUGAGAAUUUGGGGGCCAGUCUCUGCAACAUUCACCACAUUCUAUAACAGAGUAUCUUUGAAGAUUUGAGAACAUGAUGUGUAUGAGCAUAAACAAAAGGACAAAUGAAAAUAUAGCUUUCUUUUUUUUUUUUUUUUUUUUUUUUAAA